rnacentral:lncRNA from 1 species
GAGCCACUGAGCCCAGCCAAAUAUUUUUAAAAACAGGUUGUUAGCUUGUGUAAAAUAUAAAUAUCUAGACACCUGUGCUUCCAUUUGGAGUCUUGCUCCCAGCCUCUCGGUGUCGGGGCUGGCCUCACCUUCCUCAUGGGUUAUCAUGAGGGACAUCAGAUGGGAGAAAAUGUGAAAGCACAUUGACUAUAGAUGAGGUGACUUUCUGUUAGCCUUCUCUCUACUACUGCUACAUUUUAAAGAGGUCUUUGGUUGCUGUUUUUAGGAAGUGGGGCUAUUGCUUCACACUCCAACUGUUUAGUAUUUUCUUUUUAAUUUGAUGCCUUCAGUUUUCCAAUCUGAAAAAGAUGCUUUGGUUUGAAUAAACCAAUGUAAGUAGGCUUCUCCUGUUGAAAAUUCAAAGAAAUUUGCUUUUGGGUUUUUUUAUUCUGCAUUCUUCCCGGGAGAAAUGUCUUCCCAUCUAGAAGAAUCAGCAGUCUUUUACUAUCCAGACCUAUUAAAUUGAACGAUUGAUUGUAACAAAGCCUACGCUGUUAUAUUCAAGCAGUUGUUACAUAUCUCAUAUGCCAAAAUUGUUAAAAAUAACAAAGGCCUAUUAUCUCGAAUGUGGGAAACCAAAUCAUUUUUUUAAAGGCGUGAUUAAUUGUGUGAGUUUGAACCCCUUAAGUAGGUGUGGUAAGCUGUAUUCCGUGGGAACUUGCUCAGUAUGUGUGCAACUAUGUAAACAAAAAGUUAAAAUGCAGCUAACACUUUCCCUGGCAUUUAUUAGCAUAGCAAAGAAAGCAGAAACCAACCAAUUUUUACAUAAAAAGACAGUAGAAAGCUGUGUCUGCCUGCAUUACUGUUCAAUCUGUGGGUGCCAACUAUACUCAUAGAAACAAUUUUUAUUUAUAGGCCUAUCACCAAAAUGUGUUCUUCAUUAAUUCAUAUUUUUCUCAGCCUCACAUUACUUCUUGAACCCAUCCAGGUGGUUUUUAAAUGAUAAGGGUAAUUUAAAACUGAGCAAAUUCAUGUGUACCCCAUUUUCCGUGUUUAAGAAUAAUUGAACGGAAACAUCUUUACCAUUCAUUCAAUAUUUUGUUAAUUUGUUUACCUUUAGUGAACCUGAGGAAUACCACAAAUGUGAGCAUGGCUGGAUCUUUUGAAUUAAAAUCCACACUGGGAAAGAAAUAGACCUUGAACAUCUUGCCAAAGGCAAACCACUUCAAUAGAACAUGGCUGGCGGCCAUAUGGACAUAUUUGAAUCCAACAAUUAAUUCAGCAAAGAAAGCUGCUUGUGGCAAGUUUUGAAUGUGCCAUUCCAGGUAGUGCUUUGAUGAUAAAUGAGGAGAAGAUUGCAAAGAAAAUGACAGCAACAUUUAUAAAAGGAUUCCUCUUAGGACUCUAGAUGCACGGAGAGUGGCCAGAUUAAUACAGACUGGCAAAAGAAGAACUUGGCAAAGUGAUUUGAUCACACACUUCUCACCCUCACAUCUCCUGACAGUUCCCCUAAUCCCUGCCCCACUUCCCCGCCAUGGGCUUCCAUCAGGAAACUCCUUGAUAUCAUCUUCGAGAAGAAAACUGAGGCAUAGAACAUUUGGGAAUGAAUCUAAGACUACACAUCUAGAAUAGCAGAGGAAGGCAAUGUAUCGCAUCCUGUAUUACCUUCCCCUGACCUCAUAGCUUCCCAAAACAGGAACAAUCAUGGGCUUUGAAGAAUGAAGAUGUGGAGACCUGGAGACAGGUGGCACCUCGUGCUUCCUCCGAAGGGAGAGCCCAUUUCCUAACAGCUGGAUCAAAGGCAUGAAAUGAACAUGGAGUCCCUGAAGAUGAAGAGAAGGCAUGGCUUCCAGGGAGAAAUUGUACAUUACAGGAAUGCAGAUGUGAUUCCUAUGGAUGAGGGUAACCUAGAGGCUAGAAGAACAAUAGGACAGAAGAAGCCUGGGUCCCUGAACAA